rnacentral:lncRNA from 1 species
UGAAUUUUGCUGGGAUGUAGUAUGAUGUAGCUCGUAUUUCACGAGCAGGCUGGCAUGCAUAUUGGUCCUCAACUGGCUCUUGUCCUGCAAAUUCAGUGAUGGAAGUACCCACACUUACCCCUACAGCAUGAAGGAAGGAGAAACACAAAGCAUUUUGAUAACCCUGAAAAACCUGCCUAAGACUUCUGAUCUUAGGGCACCUGUGUGUGCAUGCAACAUCUUCUUAAAAGGCUGGAAUUCAAAACCUCCCAGGGGAUACACAAGCUCACUACAUUGCUGAGCACCGGGGAUUUGAAGCAGCAGGAAUGUCUGAG